AAAAAGGAUCAAGGAACCAGUUUGGGUUUA
rnacentral:piRNA from 1 species